rnacentral:rRNA from 1 species
AUUGAACGCUGGCGGCAGGCCUAACACAUGCAAGUCGAGCGGAUGAAGGGAGCUUGCUCCUUGAUUCAGCGGCGGACGGGUGAGUAAUGCCUAGGACUCUGCCUGGUAGUGGGGGACAACGUUUCGAAAGGAAUGCUAAUACCGAAUACGUCCUACGGGAGAAAGCAGGGGACCUUCGGGCCUUGCGCUAUCAGAUGUUCGUAGGUCGGAUUAGCUAGUUGGUGGGGUAAUGGCCCACCAAGGCGACGAUCCGUAACUGGUCUGAGAGGAUGAUCAGUCACACUGGAACUGAGACACGGUCCAGACUCCUACGGGAGGCAGCAGUGGGGAAUAUUGGACAAUGGGCGAAAGCCUGAUCCAGCCAUGCCGCGUGUGUGAAGAAGGUCUUCGGAUUGUAAAGCACUUUAAGUCGGGAGGAAGGGCUGUAGGCUAAUACCUUGCAGUUUUGACGUUACCGACAGAAUAAGCACCGGCUAACUUCGUGCCAGCCGCCGCCGUAAAAC